CUUGCUCCUUCUGGUUUAGCGGCGGACGGGUGAGUAACACGUGGGCAACCUGCCCUGCAGAUCGGGAUAACUCCGGGAAACCGGUGCUAAUACCGAAUAGUUUGCGGCCUCUCCUGAGGCUGCACGGAAAGACGGUUUCGGCUGUCACUGCAGGAUGGGCCCGCGGCGCAUUAGCUAGUUGGUGGGGUAAUGGCCUACCAAGGCGACGAUGCGUAGCCGACCUGAGAGGGUGAUCGGCCACACUGGGACUGAGACACGGCCCAGACUCCUACGGGAGGCAGCAGUAGGGAAUCUUCCGCAAUGGACGAAAGUCUGACGGAGCAACGCCGCGUGAGUGACGAAGGUUUUCGGAUCGUAAAACUCUGUUGUGAGGGAAGAACAAGUACCAACUAACUACUGGUACCUUGACGGUACCUCACCAGAAAGCCACGGCUAACUACGUGCCAGCAGCCGCGGUAAUACGUAGGUGGCAAGCGUUGUCCGGAAUUAUUGGGCGUAAAGCGCGCGCAGGCGGUUCUUUAAGUCUGAUGUGAAAGCCCACGGCUCAACCGUGGAGGGUCAUUGGAAACUGGAGAACUUGAGUGCAGAAGAGGAAAGUGG
rnacentral:rRNA from 1 species